GUGAGACCCUGCCUUAGGAUGAAAAAUACAAAAGGACAGGAAUGUAUCUCAGUGGUAAAGUACCCCUGGGUUCAAUACCCAGUACCCCCCAAAAAAUUUUUUUGAGAUAAAAUUCACAAACCAUAAAAUGUACCCUUUUAAAAAGUUUACAGUUCAGAGUUAUGCAUCCAUCAUCACUAAUUCUAGAUCAUUUUCAUCACCCCUAAAAAAAUCCCCAUACCCAUUAAUAAUCACACCUUUACUCCCUUGCCUCUUUACUUGGAAACCACUAGUGCAUUUUCUGUCUAUAGAUGUACCUAUUAUGGACAUUUUACAUAAGUGGAAUCAUACAUUAUUUGUCUUUUUGUGUUUGGUCUCUUUGACUUGGCAUGUUUUCAAGGUUCAUUCAUUUGUAUUUAUCAGUACACAGUUCCUUUUUAAUGACUGAAUAAUAUUCCAUUCAAGAGAUAAUACCACUGUUUUAUUUAUAAUUAAUCUGUAGAUGGACAUUUAGGUUGAUUCUAUUUUUUGUGAAUACUGCAUGCAUAUUCAUACAAGUUUUUGUAUGAACAUAAUUUUUUUCCAAUCUCCUGAGUACAUACCUAGGAGUGGCAUUAGUGGUUUAUAUAUAGUAACUGUUAAAAGUUUUGAACACUGUCACAAAUGGUUUUGCAAAGUAGCUGCACUGUUUUACAUUCUCUCCAUUAGUAUAUGAGGGUUCCAAAUUCUCUAUCUGGUCUCCAAAUCUUCCUUGCUUUUCUUUAUGGCCCCUAUCACUGCCUGACAUAACCUGUAUUCAUUUAUUACUGUCUGGUUGUCCUAUUAGACAGUGAGCUCUGAGAAUUGGGGCUGGUAUUAUUCUCUGCUAUAGCUCCAGCACCACAUAGUACCUGCCAUAGAGUAAAACACUCAACAAGAGUCUGUUGAAUUUGUGAAUAAAGUUCUGUAAUCUUUUUAAAUUUAAUUACUUUCCCUGAUUUUUAAUUUAACCUUUAUUACCCAAGUAAGAAAUAGAUACAUUUUUCUUGUAAAUAAUUUAAAACAUUGGGACAAAGCUAAUCCCUUUGAACAGUAGUCAUAAUCCUAUUGCCUCUUCUUCACUGUUAAUCCUUUGCAUGUGUCCUUCCUUGGUUUUUACAUCUUUGUAUGUAAUAGAAUUUAGAAAAUAAGGAAAAUACAUAGUUUGGGUUUUUCUUAAAAAAUAAAUAAUAUGUAGGGAUUAUUUUAUAACUUAAUUGUUUACUCAACAUGAUGCCUUAGAGAUCUUUCUGUGCCAUUUAUACAUGUUAACCUACCUUUUUAAGAAAAAAAAAAACUAAGAAACCUGUUGCCAUAUUUUGUGUAAUGUGUAUAUCACAGGUUGGUGUUGGUUUUAUUGUUUUGUUGGUGGUGGUUUGCACAUGUGCUGGGUAUCAAACUCAGAGCCUUGAGUGUGCUAGACAAAUGUCUUCCACUGAGCUAACCCCUAGCCCCCUUUUAUUACAGUUUUUAAUCCAUUGUUCUAUUUUUAGAAUCUCAGAUAUUUAUAGUGUGACUGAUUUUUGCAAAGCAGAGUUUUAAAACUUAAUAUCAUAAUAUUGGGGGUCAUGAUACUGAAGUGUCCAGCCACAAAAAAAAAGGGAGGGCUUGGUAUCAAAACAGAAACUUACAGUCCUGACUUUUUACACUGCAAGGAACAAAACUCAAUUCCUCAGAAACUUAUAAUAAAACAAAAUUCAUUUUAAUGUCUUGGUGGUUUGAAAGUGCCAAACUCUUGUUACAAAUAGGGGGUUUUAAUUCCUGGUUUUAGGACAUUUUAGACACUUAAGGAUUACCAGUGACAAAGUUGUCUUCCCUUCUAUUCUGAGGUACUCGUUGAAGUAGCAUCCCUCAGUCCUAACUCCCAUAGCAUAUAAUGAACCUGCUGCUUAGCAUUGGUAUUAACUUUUUAACUAUCCCUACACUUACCUGGAGUAUAAGCCCCUAAAGGAGGAAAAGACAGGGUCUUAGUUUUUUUGUUUGUUUGUUUGUUUUGUUUUGUUUUGUUUUGGUGCUGGGGAUUAAACCCAUAGGCAAGCACUGUACCAAAUGAUCUGUGUCCCCAGCCCCAGGGUCUUAUUCCUGCCCCUGGUACUCAGUCACAAUUAUUUGAUAUUAUAUUUUAUAUUUCUCCAUUUCUAACU
rnacentral:lncRNA from 1 species